rnacentral:rRNA from 1 species
CCUACGGGAGGCAGCAGUGGGGAAUAUUGGACAAUGGGCGCAAGCCUGAUCCAGCAAUGCCGCGUGGGUGAAGAAGGUCUUCGGAUCGUAAAGCCCUUUCGACAGGGACGAUGAUGACGGUACCUGUAGAAGAAGCCCCGGCUAACUUCGUGCCAGCAGCCGCGGUAAUACGAAGGGGGCUAGCGUUGCUCGGAAUUACUGGGCGUAAAGGGCGCGUAGGCGGCUUAGUCAGUCAGGCGUGAAAUUCCUGGGCUUAACCUGGGGGCUGCGCUUGAUACGGCUAGGCUUGAGGGUAGGAGAGGGUCGUGGAAUUCCCAGUGUAGAGGUGAAAUUCGUAGAUAUUGGGAAGAACACCGGUGGCGAAGGCGGCGACCUGGCCUAUUACUGACGCUGAGGCGCGACAGCGUGGGGAGCAAACAGGAUUAGAUACCCCUGUAGUC